CCAGAGCAUUAAAUGUGUCAGUGGAAGGAGCUUGUGCCUAUAGCUAUUUUGAAUAUUCUUGGUGCUAACGCUUGCGUUUCUGUUUAAAGAAGCAGGAUGCCAAACUGCACCCAAAUGUUGUCACUGAUGCUCUGUCCUAGCCUCUAAAUAAUGAGGAAAACAGAUGCAGAGAACUAAUUGACUGAAACACUGUGACACCUCAUGAGGGCCAGCCUGGCCUGUUGUUCAUUUAUGAUCCUUAAGACUUUGAUCUUCUACAGCACCUGCCAUCUGAGGAUCCCAAACCACUUUUGUGGGGCACAAGUUCCGUGUCCGGUACGAAACCGAUUAAGAAGGCUCCAUUGGCUUUGUGAUACAUUGAAAAUGCUCUUGGAAUACUGACCCAAAAGAGAAUAACGGCCCCAACAGAGAGUCUCCACUCCUCGUAUUUUCACUGCCUCUGCUCAUGCUAUUUCUUCUUCACGUGUUGGUGGCUCUGCUUUUGCUUCUGCAUCCUGCACAGCAGACAGAACCAACUCCGUCUCAGCCAGUCCAAUCGGGGUUGACAAGCAGCCUCUGUGAAAACAGCUGCCGUGAUGUGGUUAAAAAUAAACAAUGCAGUUUUUGGGUUUUUUUAAAGUAAUACCAUGCAGAGCCUCAUCCGAAGCCCAUCGGCUUCAACAGGCUUUGGCUCAGGCCCUAUCUGUAUUUGCUUUUGUACAAGACUCUAAACCCAUUGCAGUCAUAACCCUUCUACUGCGAAAUACUUGUCAGUGUUUGGUACAGCUUUGAGCGGAUGUAGGCAGGGUGUCAGAUGGAGCGAUGCAGACGUAUGAAUGUCCAAAAGCAAAAUGUGGGCAGGAGAGAGCCUUUUAGAGCAACGCGUUGGGGCUUGUCUGCCUCUUCGCAGUUUGGCUUUGCUUAAGUCCUAUCAUUGAAAGUACAGAGAGCUGCUAUUUUGCUGUACUGUCCCAGGAAAAACAUAGGCACAGCAGAUAAGCUAGCGCGCCUCACAACCACGCAUCUGAUCUCCCUGGUGGCUACGCUUCUGGACGGGGAGAAGAAUCAUUUUGCUUAGAAUGCAACUGGGCGCUAUAUAAAUUAGUGGGGGAGAAGGGGAAAGCCUAUGGCUAGUUUUCCCAUCAAGCAGUGAUUACAAUUGUACCUCGCUGAUCUGCACACCUUAAGAUUCAUACCCCAACGUGGCAUCUUCCCACACUUCUGAGCAAAGAUUUCAGAGCAGAGGAUGCUGUACUGAAGUCCCAUGUGCCUGAGCAGGGUUUGGACAAGCGUCUUAGCCAUGGUGUGCCGCUGCUGACACAAGAGCCAGUGCUGGUGUAACCAGUGUAGGGGAUACUCUGGUAGCACAGAGACAGUCAACAGCACCUAAGCCACCCCGCUUCCUGCUGCCAGUGGUGUGGGAGGUGUUCUCAGGACUUCCCUGCAUUCCUCAAUCCCUAGCUGCUACUUUGCCCAAACAUUUACACAGUGGUUUUGCAGCCAGAGCGGGUCAGCUUAUUCAGGCCAGCCACUGAUGUUUGUUUGCUGUGUAGAUGCACCCUAAGUCCUUUGCAGCCAGCAUAACUUCUACCACGGGACCCGACUAGCGUACAGGUAGCCUGGGAUGGGGCAGGAGUGUAAAGGUGAGCUUUACACUAUCUUUUCACACCCAUUCCCCAAUUGAUGCUGUAGGCUCAUCGGCCAUACGCUAAGAUCUGGGCCUUAUUUAAUACACUAGUGUUACUAGCAAAAACAACCAAGUGUCAUAAUGAUAAGUAAACAAACAACGGAUUCUUUGUGAUGCACUCUCCUUCCCUCUGCAAUUGCUCACCUACUUGCUGACAGCAUGGUCAUUGGCAGUGUGUCUCCUAGACAUCACCCCAAACGCGAGAAGAGCCGCUUUCUCAGCGGCUUUGCUGCUUCUCUCUUUAA